GAACAAUAUCCCACUGUAUACAUGGACCACAUCUUCAUCCACGUAUCCAGAGAUGGACAGUUACGUUGUUUUCAUAUCUUGGCUACUGAGAUGGUCAUUCUGACAGGUGUGAAGUGAUACCUCAUUGUGUUUUGGAUGUGCAUUUUGGUGAUAAAAAUAGUGAUGGUCGCCUUAUGUAGCUGAUUGUUUCCAUUGCUGCGAAGAAACUGUACUUGAGUGUAGCCCUCGUCGACGUUUGCUUUUGUGGCCUCUGAGUUUGGUGCCCCAUGCUGCUGGUCCUGCAGUUUCUGUUUAUGUUUCUGCUCUGCUGAUUCGUCAUUCUAUUGUUUGCCUAUCAGCCUCUCCAUUUGGUGGGGGCAAUAGUUUGCCCUGUUACUUGAGUUCUCUGAUUAAACUAAGGAAGUGAAUGGUUUUCAUUUUAUCUAGCUUUGUAAAAUUUUGUGGGAGGGCAUGAUCACUUCCAAGCCCCUUACAUGCUAGAGUAGAAACUGGAAGUUUCUUACCUUUAUGUUUUUAAAAUAUUGUUUCUGAAGUGAUACAAUUAUUCACAUGAAAUAUAUCCUUGGUCAUUCUGUUAACAGGUUGAAUUUGUUCUCCUUGGUCCUUGUACCCACCCACAACAAAGAAUUGAAAGGCAAAGA